UUAGAGCUAGUCUAUCCCUGUUUGAGACGUACGUAAGCAGUCGAGUUUGCAGUAAAGAUUUUAUGGAUUAUUUGUUUCUAUUGUGAAUGCAGACAAUAAAAGCCACUGUGAAGAACCCCUGGG